AUUGAACGCUGGCGGCAGGCCUAACACAUGCAAGUCGAACGAGUGGCGGACGGGUGAGUAAUGUCUGGGAAACUGCCUGAUGGAGGGGGAUAACUACUGGAAACGGUAGCUAAUACCGCAUACCAUCGGAUGUGCCCAGAUGGGAUUAGCUAGUAGGUGGGGUAAAGGCUCACCUAGGCGACGAUCCCUAGCUGGUCUGAGAGGAUGACCAGCCACACUGGAAUGGAGAGACGGUCCAGACUCCUACGGGAGGCAGCAGUGGGGAAUAUGGCACAAUGGGAGCGGGCUUGACGCAGCCAUGCCGCGUGUAUGAAGAAGGCCUUCGGGUUGUAAAGGACUUUGAGCGGGGAGGCGUUACGCGCAGAAGAAGCACCGGAUAACUCCGUGCCAGCAGCCGCGGUAAUAC
rnacentral:rRNA from 1 species